rnacentral:rRNA from 1 species
CCAUUGAAAGAGUGCGUAAUAGCUCACUGGUCGAGUGACCCCGCGCCGAAAAUGUACCGGGGCUAAACAUAUUACCGAAACUGUGGAUGAACCUCUUUAGAGGUUCGUGGUAGGAGAGCGUUCUAAGGGCGGUGAAGUCAGACCGGAAGGACUGGUGGAGCGCUUAGAAGUGAGAAUGCCGGUAUGAGUAGCGAAAGAAGGGUGAGAAUCCCUUCCACCGAAUAUCUAAGGUUUCCUGAGGAAGGCUCGUCCGCUCAGGGUUAGUCGGGACCUAAGCCGAGGCCGAUAGGCGUAGGCGAUGGACAACAGGUAGAGAUUCCUGUACCAGUGCUAAUUGUUUAACCGAUGGGGUGACACAGAAGGAUAGGGAAUCGCACGAAUGGAAAUGUGCGUCCAAGCAGUGAGUGUGAGAAGUAGGCAAAUCCGCUUCUCGCGAAGCAUGAGCUGUGAUGGGGAAGGAAAUUAAGUACGGAAGUUCCUGAUUUCACGCUGUCAAGAAAAGCCUCUAGGAAGAGUAGUACUGCCCGUACCGCAAACCGACACAGGUAGAUGAGGAGAGAAUCCUAAGGUGAGCGAGAGAACUCUCGUUAAGGAACUCGGCAAAAUGACCCCGUAACUUCGGGAGAAGGGGUGCUCUAUUAGGGUGCAAGCCCGAGAGAGCCGCAGUGAAUAGGCCCAGGCGACUGUUUAGCAAAAACACAGGUCUCUGCAAAACCGUAAGGUGACGUAUAGGGGCUGACGCCUGCCCGGUGCUGGAAGGUUAAGAGGAGUGCUUAGCUUCGGCGAAGGUACGAAUUGAAGCCCCAGUAAACGGCGGCCGUAACUAUAACGGUCCUAAGGUAGCGAAAUUCCUUGUCGGGUAAGUUCCGACCCGCACGAAAGGCGCAACGAUCUGGGCACUGUCUCAACGAGAGACUCGGUGAAAUUAUAGUACCUGUGAAGAUGCAGGUUACCCGCGACAGGACGGAAAGACCCCGUGGAGCUUUACUGCAACCUGAUAUGGAAUGUUUGUACCGCUUGUACAGGAUAGGUAGGAGCCGAAGAGACGUGUGCGCUAGCAUACGAGGAGGCAAUGGUGGGAUACUACCCUGGCUGUAUGACCAUUCUAACCCGCCACGCUUAGCGCGUGGGGAGACAGUGUCAGGUGGGCAGUUUGACUGGGGCGGUCGCCUCCUAAAGAGUAACGGAGGCGCCCAAAGGUUCCCUCAGAAUGGAUGGAAAUCAUUCGCAGAGUGUAAAGGCACAAGGGAGCUUGACUGCGAGACUGACAAGUCGAGCAGGGACGAAAGUCGGGCUUAGUGAUCCGGUGGUUCCGCAUGGAAGGGCCAUCGCUCAACGGAUAAAAGCUACCCCGGGGAUAACAGGCUUAUCUCCCCCAAGAGUCCACAUCGACGGGGAGGUUUGGCACCUCGAUGUCGGCUCGUCGCAUCCUGGGGCUGUAGUCGGUCCCAAGGGUUGGGCUGUUCGCCCAUUAAAGCGGCACGCGAGCUGGGUUCAGAACGUCGUGAGACAGUUCGGUCCCUAUCCGUCGCGGGCGCAGGAAAUUUGAGAGGAGCUGUCCUUAGUACGAGAGGACCGGGAUGGACACACCGCUGGUGUACCAGUUGUUCCGCCAGGAGCAUCGCUGGGUAGCUAUGUGUGGCAGGGAUAAACGCUGAAAGCAUCUAAGCGUGAAGCCCCCCUCAAGAUGAGAUUUCCCAUUUCUUCGGAAAGUAAGAUCCCUGAAAGAUGAUCAGGUAGAUAGGUUUGGAGUGGAAGUGUAGCGAUACAUGGAGCGGACAAAUACUAAUCGAUCGAGGACUUAACCAAAA